CCGUGAUCAUGCCUAUUUUGUCACUUGUGCUAAAAACGGAGCCAAGUCGCCAUUUUUAAAGUUUUGCAAUUUUACUUGCCUUUCGAUUGACGAUAAAUAAAUGUGUAAGAAUAUUAAUAUCAAUGCAACUGAAAAAGGGAGUUGUCUGCCAUGGUAUUCUAUUCAUUUUAGAGGAUCUUCUAAUUGAGAUUGGUCAACAAGUGAGAAGGAAUUAAGUCUGAUGCUACUGAAACAUCCGAUGCUUUUGACGUCUUCCCCUUGCAUCAUAAUGCAGUUAAUUUUAAACCUGAGAAAGGGAGGAAAGUGGAAAUUAAUUUGGAAAUGACUGAAACAACAGAUUGUCUGCAGUGGUAUUCCUACUGGAUUUGACUUGCUCAUCCCACCUGUGGACUUUAGAAUAUUACUUUCUGCAGUUAAUUAAGGAACGUUUUAAAAACUCAGGAUACUGUGUUAUGGAGCAUUGGUUGCAUCAGCCUUCCUUCACUCAAGAAAAUAGCAGUACCUAAAGGAAAAUGCCUUUUUUCCGUUGGGAACACUGACAGUGUAUUGCUUCUAAAGGAAGAAUUUAUGACAGUAAAUGGAUUAACGAUGCAUAAGAAUUGAAGAGUGUUAAUUUUGAUGCAACUGAAAGAGCAAAUUGUUUGCCAUGUCUAAAUAAUCUUUCAUGAGAUUUCAUUUCACAGGAACCGUGGAUGGCAUUAAUUUACAGUGCCUUGGUUGUGUCAGUGUUCAUUCGAUCCAGAAAGUAGCUGUCCUAAAAAGAAGCACAAAAGUGCCUUUUUUCCAUUGGAAGUGGAUACAGUGUGGCAUUGUUGAAGGAAGGAUUUAUAACGAAUGAACUGAUUGUCCAAGUGAGAAGAAAUUACAGCUGCUUCUGAUGAUACUCAAAGAGCCAAUGCUUUUGACGUCUUACUCUUGCAACAUAAUUUUGAACCUGAGAGGGGGAGGCAUUUGAAAAUGAAUUUGGAAAUGAGUGAAACAACAACUUGUCUGCAGUGGUAUUCCUUCUGGAUUUGGCUUGUUCAUUGUACCUGUGAACCUUAGGAAGCUACUUUCUGCAGUUAAUUAAGGUGA